rnacentral:rRNA from 1 species
AUUGAACGCUGGCGGCAGGCCUAACACAUGCAAGUCGAACGGAAGAAGGUAGCUUGCGCCUGGAUUCAGCGGCGGACGGGUGAGUAAUGCCUAGGAAUCUGCCUGGUAGGUGGGCAUCACGUCCGGAAACGGGCGCUAAUACUGCAUACGACCUGAGGGUGCAAGAGAGGCAUCUUCGGACCACACGCUAUCAGUUGAGCCUAGGUCGGAUUAGCUAGUUGGUAGGGUAAAGGCCUACCAAGGCGACGAUCCGUAACUGGUCUGAGAGGUUGAUCAGUCACACUGGAACUGAGACACGGUCCAGACUCCUACGGGAGGCAGCAGUGGGGAAUCUUGGACAAUGGGCGAAAGCCUGAUGCAGCAAUGCCGCGUGUGUGAAGAAGGUCUUCGGAUUGUAAAACCCUGUAAGUUGGGAAGAAGGGCAGUGAGUUAAUCCGUUGACGUUUUGACGGUACCAACAGAGAAAGCACCGGCUAACUACGUG